AACGAACGCUGGCGGCAUGCCUAACACAUGCAAGUCGAACGAGACCUUCGGGUCUAGUGGCGCACGGGUGCGUAACGCGUGGGAACCUGCCCUUAGGUUCGGAAUAACUCCCCGCAAGGGGUGCUAAUACCGGAUAAUGUCUUCGGACCAAAGAUUUAUCGCCUUUGGAUGGGCCCGCGUUGGAUUAGCUAGUUGGUAGGGUAAAAGCCUACCAAGGCGCCGAUCCAUAGCUGGUCUGAGAGGAUGAUCAGCCACACUGGGACUGAGACACGGCCCAGACUCCUACGGGAGGCAGCAGUGGGGAAUAUUGGACAAUGGGCGAAAGCCUGAUCCAGCAAUGCCGCGUGAGUGAUGAAGGCCUUAGGGUUGUAAAGCUCUUUUACCCGGGAUGAUAAUGACAGUACCGGGAGAAUAAGCUCCGGCUAACUCCGUG
rnacentral:rRNA from 1 species